UGAUGUGAGGGGAUCUGGCUGUGACUUCUGUCACCCCAUUGAUCACCAGGGUUGAGUUGGUGAUCUGAUUGGCUAGGUGGGUGUCCCCUUUUUCCCUCACCACUCCAUGUGUAGCCCUCCUGAAGUAUCGAGCUCAGCUGAAGAGGACAAUUUUCCUUCAUAGAAGAUGGUGAUCUUCUGUCAGUGGUAUAGGAGUAGCUGUGCUCCCUGCUAGAACCUCCAGACAAGCUCUCAAGGUUGCUGCCAGUGGCUCCUGGUAUUCACGCCCUUGUGUAAUCCCCUUCCCUUGAGUAUAAG
rnacentral:sRNA from 1 species